rnacentral:rRNA from 1 species
AUUGAACGCUGGCGGCAUGCCUUACACAUGCAAGUCGAACGGCAACACGGGGCAACCUGGUGGCGAGUGGCGAACGGGUGAGUAAUGCAUCGGAACGUGCCAUUGAGUGGGGGAUAACGUAGCGAAAGUUGCGCUAAUACCGCAUAUUCUGUGAGCAGGAAAGCAGGGGACCGCAAGGCCUUGCGCUCUUUGAGCGGCCGAUGUCAGAUUAGCUAGUUGGUGAGGUGACGGCUUACCAAGGCGACGAUCUGUAGCGGGUCUGAGAGGAUGAUCCGCCACACUGGAACUGAGACACGGUCCAGACUCCUACGGGAGGCAGCAGUGGGGAAUUUUGGACAAUGGGCGCAAGCCUGAUCCAGCCAUGCCGCGUGAGUGAAGAAGGCCUCGGUUGUAA